UGGGGAAUAUUGCACAAUGGACGAAAGUCUGAUGCAGCAACGCCGCGUGGAGGAUGACACAUUUCGGUGCGUAAACUCCUUUUAUAUAGGAAGAUAAUGACGGUACUAUAUGAAUAAGCGCCGGCUAACUCCGUGCCAGCAGCCGCGGUAAUACGGAGGGCGCAAGCGUUACUCGGAAUCACUGGGCGUAAAGAGCGUGUAGGCGGAUAGAUAAGUCAGGAGUGAAAUCCUAUGGCUCAACCAUAGAACUGCUCUUGAAACUGUCAAUCUAGAGUGUGGGAGAGGUAGAUGGAAUUUCUGGUGUAGGGGUAAAAUCCGUAGAGAUCAGAAGGAAUACCGAUUGCGAAGGCGAUCUACUGGAACAUAACUGACGCUGAGACGCGAAAGCGUGGGGAGCAAAC
rnacentral:rRNA from 1 species